rnacentral:misc_RNA from 1 species
GAAAUGCGAUAAGUAAUGUGAAUUGCAGAAUUCAGUGAAUCAUCGAAUCUUUGAACGCACAUUGCGCCGGCCAGUAUUCUGGCGGGCAUGCCUGUUCGAGCGUCAUUACAACCCUCAGGCCCCCGGGCCUGGCGUUGGGGAUCGGCGGAAGCCCCCUGCGGGCACAACGCCGUCCCCCAAAUACAGUGGCGGUCCCGCCGCAGCUUCCAUUGCGUAGUAGCUAACACCUCGCAACUGGAGAGCGGCGCGGCCACGCCGUAAAACACCCAACUUCUGAAUGUUGACCUCGAAUCAGGUAGGAAUACCCGCUGAACUUAAGC